AAUUCUUUCCCUUCUGUUCUUGGGUUACUAGAGUGGUCCUUGAAUAAAAGACUUCUUCUAGUUGGGCAAUUCUGUAACAGUUUUAUAAAAAAAAAAACCAGCAGCUAUUUCUUCAUUAAGUUCCUGAAUCAAAAUUGACAGUUUUAUCUUGUGAUGGCUUUAUCUUGUUUUAUUUAUAUACAGGCUCUAAGCUGUUCAAUCUCUUCAGAAUAUGUCUCAACCUAAAAUAAAGUAAAAUAUUGUACCUGUUGCAGACAGCUAUAAGCUAUGAAGAUGUAUGUUAGGAAGACUAAUGAAGCUACACAUAAUGAUCUGUGUGAUUAAACGCCAAUCACUCGCUUUUUGAAAUUUAUGAAAAUUAAAUAAAGAAUAAAAAUUGGUUACAAAAAAAUUAAUAAAAUAAUAAAAGUUCAAAAAGUUUUUAGAGACAGGACAAAUAACGAGUCAAUAAGAGGAAAAAAAAAAAAAAAAAAAAAAGGCAGUCCGCACUGUCGUGUCCCCUCCCUCCCAGACAAAGGCUAGGAAAGAGAAGGGCACUUUUCAGGAGGAAUGUCCCCUUUUUGAAGACCAAAAUUUCACGAUUAUGCAAUCUUUAUCUUAAGACAGACCCAUUUGCCCAGAGUCCCCCUUCUAAUCCUUGGCGUCCAGGAGUCUGGCUUGACCAGGUGGCUCCUGUGGAUUCAGGGAGAUAUGCAUCUUUUCUUCUGAAAAUUCUAAGGGGGGGUUCUCUUCUUCUUGUUGUAACUGUUAUCUCUGUUGAGAAACACCUCCAGGCCUCUCCUUUUUUUUUUUUUUUUUUUUUUUUUUUUU